rnacentral:lncRNA from 1 species
GGCCGAAGGAAAAUAAAGCAUGAAAAGGCUUGAAAAUGAACAAAACUAAAAUUAAAAAGAAUUUGAGUGACAAAACUAAAAAUAACCAAGAAAGACAAACAAAUUAAAGGCUAGAAACAAAGUUAAGCACACAAAAAGAAACACUUGUGGAAAGGCAUUAUAAUAGAUGAUAAAAAACAAAAACAACUAAAAUGUAGAUGUAAGCUUCUUG